AAAACUUUCAACAACGGAUCUCUUGGCUCCAGCAUCGAUGAAGAACGCAGCGAAAUGCGAUAAGUAAUGUGAAUUGCAGAAUUCAGUGAAUCAUCGAAUCUUUGAACGCACAUUGCGCCCCCUCAGUAUUCCGGG
rnacentral:rRNA from 1 species